GUGGAUAUGGGAAUUGAGUAUUCUGUUACACUGAGGAUCUGAGAGCUUCAAUUUAAAGAGCCAGCACUUGGAGUAUUUGAUAGCCACAGUGGCAUACUGUCCUAAUUUGGGUCACAUCACAACAGAGGAAGAGAGCUCAGAUUCUGAUGUGCAGAAUAUUUUCCGGAAGAAAAGCCUAAUUUUGGGAGGACCAGAAAAUGAGUCAAGAGGUGGGACCUCUCUGUCUUUUGCCUAAAUAACUUGUCCAAAGUUAUCCAGUGAGUAAAGUGAGGAGCCAGGAUUUUCAUCUAAGUCUUUCCAACUCCCAAGGCCAUUUGCUUAAUCACUGUGCAUCACUGCUGCUGGAUGAAAUUUUGUGGACAUUAUGGUCUCAUAGAAAUUAGGAAAGGCUGGGCA
rnacentral:lncRNA from 1 species